rnacentral:rRNA from 1 species
AACGCGAAGAACCUUACCGGGUCUUGACAUCCUCUGACAACUCUAGAGAUAGAGCGUUCCCCUUCGGGGGACAGAGUGACAGGUGGUGCAUGGUUGUCGUCAGCUCGUGUCGUGAGAUGUUGGGUUAAGUCCCGCAACGAGCGCAACCCUUGAUCUUAGUUGCCAGCAUUUAGUUGGGCACUCUAAGGUGACUGCCGGUGACAAACCGGAGGAAGGUGGGGAUGACGUCAAAUCAUCAUGCCCCUUAUGACCUGGGCUACACACGUGCUACAAUGGAUGGUACAAAGGGCUGCAAAACCGCAAGGUCGAGCCAAUCCCAUAAAACCAUUCUCAGUUCGGAUUGCAGGCUGCAACUCGCCUGCAUGAAGCCGGAAUCGCUAGUAAUCAUGGAUCAGCAUGCCGCGGUGAAUACGUUCCCGGGCCUUGUACACACCGA